rnacentral:rRNA from 1 species
UGCGUAGGCGGUUUGUUAAGUCUGCUGUGAAAGCCCCGGGCUCAACCUGGGAACUGCAGUGGAUACUGGCAAGCUAGAGUGUGUCAGAGGAUGGUGGAAUUCCCGGUGUAGCGGUGAAAUGCGUAGAGAUCGGGAGGAACAUCAGUGGCGAAGGCGGCCAUCUGGGACAACACUGACGCUGAGGCACGAAAGCGUGGGGAGCAAACA